rnacentral:rRNA from 1 species
GAUGAACGCUAGCGGCAGGCUUAACACAUGCAAGUCGAGGGGCAGCGGGGAGAGUGCUUGCACUUUCCGCCGGCGACCGGCGCACGGGUGAGUAACACGUAUGCAACCUGCCCCUGUCAGGGGGACAACCUUCCGAAAUGCGGACUAAUCCCCCAUAGUCCCGCGGGCUGCAUGGCCUGCGGGGAAAGGCCAGCCGGUAGGGGAUGGGGCAAUGCGGCGCAUUAGCUAGUUGGCGGGGCAACGGGCCCACCAAGGCGACGAUGCGUAGGGGUUCUGAGAGGAAGGUCCCCCACGACUGGUACUGAGACACGGACCAGACUCCUACGGAGGCAGCAGUGAGGAAUA